rnacentral:rRNA from 1 species
UAGGGAAUCUUGGUCAAUGGGGGAAACCCUGAACCAGCGAUGCCGCGUGUGUGAAGAAGGCCUUAGGGUUGUAAAGCACUUUCAGCAGUGAAGAAACCCCGGUGGUUAAUACCUGCCGGUCUUGACGUUAACUGCAGAAGAAGCACCGGCUAACUCCGUGCCAGCAGCCGCGGUAAUACGGAGGGUGCGAACGUUAAUCGGAAUUACUGGGCGUAAAGCGCGCGUAGGCGGUUUGAUAAGUGGGAUGUGAAAGCCCCGGGCUCAACCUGGGAACUGCAUUCCAAACUGUCAGGCUAGAGUAUGGUAGAGGGAGGUAGAAUUUCCUGUGUAGCGGUGAAAUGCGUAGAUAUAGGAAGGAAUACCGGUGGCGAAGGCGGCCUCCUGGACCAAUACUGACGCUGAGGUGCGAAAGCGUGGGGAGCAAACAGGAUUAGAUACCCCCGUAGUCC